rnacentral:lncRNA from 1 species
ACUUUUCAUAAAAUCAUCCUCUCAACUUUGGUAAGUAUUGAUGAUACCUCACAAUCCAAACUAGCAAAGGAUGUCAACAGGGUGGAUUCGGGACGAAUUUUCAAACAUUCGAAUCCCAAUCUGGACCCAAAUCCAAACUUGAAAUCCGAACUCGAAUCUAAGUCUGACGGAUUUUAAAUAUCCAUAUCCAAACCCAAACCCGAAAAUUCGAAUUGGAAAUAAUUAUUUUUUUUCAAAAUUUCAAAAUUUAUUACAUUAAAUCUAAAUUUUUAAAAUAAAAAUUUAGAUAUAACAUCAUAUUUUUAUAUACAUAUUCUAUAAAAUGUAAAAUAAAUUUGGGCUCCGGCCACGUUCGGAUUUGUGUUCGGAUUGGGUACAGUCAAAAUUCAAAUUUGAAACCAUAUCCGUUAAGUAUCGGAUAAAUUCGGCCUCUUUGAGCAUGAAUAAAAUUUCGAAUAUCCAUAUUCAUUA